rnacentral:rRNA from 1 species
AUUGAACGCUGGCGGCAUGCCUAACACAUGCAAGUCGAACGGUAACGCGGGGGCAACCCUGGCGACGAGUGGCGGACGGGUGAGUAAUACAUCGGAACGUGCCCAGUAGUGGGGGAUAGCCCGGCGAAAGCCGGAUUAAUACCGCAUACGACCUACGGGUGAAAGCGGGGGAUCGCAAGACCUCGCGCUAUUGGAGCGGCCGAUGUCAGAUUAGCUAGUUGGUGGGGUAAAAGCCUACCAAGGCGACGAUCUGUAGCUGGUCUGAGAGGACGACCAGCCACACUGGGACUGAGACACGGCCCAGACUCCUACGGAGGCAGCAGUGGGGAAUUUUGGACAAUGGGGGCAACCCUGAUCCAGCCAUGCCGCGUGCGGGAAGAAGGCCUGGUGUAACG